GAUGAACGCUGGCGGCGUGCCUAAUACAUGCAAGUCGAGCGAACGGACGAGAAGCUUGCUUCUCUGAUGUUAGCGGCGGACGGGUGAGUAACACGUGGAUAACCUACCUAUAAGACUGGGAUAACUUCGGGAAACCGGAGCUAAUACCGGAUAAUAUUUUGAACCGCAUGGUUCAAAAGUGAAAGACGGUCUUGCUGUCACUUAUAGAUGGAUCCGCGCUGCAUUAGCUAGUUGGUAAGGUAACGGCUUACCAAGGCAACGAUGCAUAGCCGACCUGAGAGGGUGAUCGGCCACACUGGAACUGAGACACGGUCCAGACUCCUACGGGAGGCAGCAGUAGGGAAUCUUCCGCAAUGGGCGAAAGCCUGACGGAGCAACGCCGCGUGAGUGAUGAAGGUCUUCGGAUCGUAAAACUCUGUUAUUAGGGAAGAACAUAUGUGUAAGUAACUGUGCACAUCUUGACGGUACCUAAUCAGGAAGCCACGGCUAACUACGUGCCAGCAGCCGCGGUAAUACGUAGGUGGCAAGCGUUAUCCGGAAUUAUUGGGCGUAAAGCGCGCGUAGGCGGUUUUUUAAGUCUGAUGUGAAAGCCCACGGCUCAACCGUGGAGGGUCAUUGGAAACUGGAAAACUUGAGUGCAGAAGAGGAAAGUGGAAUUCCAUGUGUAGCGGUGAAAUGCGCAGAGAUAUGGAGGAACACCAGUGGCGAAGGCGACUUUCUGGUCUGUAACUGACGCUGAUGUGCGAAAGCGUGGGGAUCAAACAGGAUUAGAUACCCUGGUAGUCCACGCCGUAAACGAUGAGUGCUAAGUGUUAGGGGGUUUCCGCCCCUUAGUGCUGCAGCUAACGCAUUAAGCACUCCGCCUGGGGAGUACGACCGCAAGGUUGAGACUCAAAGGAAUUGACGGGGACCCGCACAAGCGGUGGAGCAUGUGGUUUAAUUCGAAGCAACGCGAAGAACCUUACCAAAUCUUGACAUCCUUUGACAACUCUAGAGAUAGAGCUUUCCCCUUCGGGGGACAAAGUGACAGGUGGUGCAUGGUUGUCGUCAGCUCGUGUCGUGAGAUGUUGGGUUAAGUCCCGCAACGAGCGCAACCCUUAAGCUUAGUUGCCAUCAUUAAGUUGGGCACUCUAAGUUGACUGCCGGUGACAAACCGGAGGAAGGUGGGGAUGACGUCAAAUCAUCAUGCCCCUUAUGAUUUGGGCUACACACGUGCUACAAUGGACAAUACAAAGGGCAGCGAAACCGUGAGGUCAAGCAAAUCCCAUAAAGUUGUUCUCAGUUCGGAUUGUAGUCUGCAACUCGACUACAUGAAGCUGGAAUCGCUAGUAAUCGUAGAUCAGCAUGCUACGGUGAAUACGUUCCCGGGUCU
rnacentral:rRNA from 1 species